rnacentral:lncRNA from 1 species
UAAAAGUUAAAAUUUUAAAUUUAAAAAAUAUAAAAUUUAAAAAUUUAAAAUUCAAAUAUAAUGAGAUGGAUAAUAUCAUUAUUUUUUUAUUUAUAGUUACCCACUAUUUUUCUUAUUUCAUCUUAUUUAUCCAAAUAUUAUUUUUUUUCAUUUUCGGAAACAAUUCAAUUUCAUUCAAAUGCAAAAUUUAUCUAGUUUUUACGUACAUCUAAACUAUACGUAUCUCUGAAAUAAGCAGUUUUUCCUUAUAUUCGAACCAAGCGAUAUUUGAGAGACAGACUGCUAUACUAUCGGUAGCAUGAAGUCCUUCGUACUACAAAAUUACUUUUAAUGAUGCAGCUUUCAAAUUAACGAUAAGUUCCGUUAUACUUGAUCUACACUAUUAAAGUAUUUGAAAAUUAAAUUUCAUAAUUUUUUGAUAUUAUUUGGCUAAUAAUCAACAUGUCUCAAAAUUGAUAAUUUUAAUGAUCGAUGUGAUAU